UCGCACGGGUGGUUUCGGCCAUCAGUGGCGGACGGGUGAGUAACGCGUAGGAACGUGUCCAGAGGUGGGGGACAACCCCGGGAAACUGGGGCUAAUACCGCAUGGGGGCUGAGGCCCAAAGCCGAGAGGCGCCAUUGGAGCGGCCUGCGUCCGAUUAGGUAGUUGGUGGGGUAAAGGCCUACCAAGCCUGCGAUCGGUAGCUGGUCUGAGAGGACGACCAGCCACACUGGGACUGAGACACGGCCCAGACUCCUACGGGAGGCAGCAGUGGGGAAUAUUGGACAAUGGGCGAAAGCCUGAUCCAGCAAUGCCGCGUGGGUGAAGAAGGUCUUCGGAUCGUAAAGCCCUUUCGACGGGGACGAUGAUGACGGUACCCGUAGAAGAAGCUCCGGCUAACUUCGUGCCAGCAGCCGCGGUAAUACGAAGGGGGCUAGCGUUGCUCGGAAUUACUGGGCGUAAAGGGCGCGUAGGCGGCGGCCCAAGUCAGGCGUGAAAUUCCUGGGCUCAAUCUGGGGACUGCGCUUGAUACUGGGUUGCUUGAGGAUGGAAGAGGCUCGUGGAAUUCCCAGUGUAGAGGUGAAAUUCGUAGAUAUUGGGAAGAACACCGGUGGCGAAGGCGGCGAGCUGGUCCAUUACUGACGCUGAGGCGCGACAGCGUGGGGAGCAAACAGGAUUA
rnacentral:rRNA from 1 species